rnacentral:rRNA from 1 species
GACGAACGCUGGCGUCGUGCUUAACACAUGCAAGUCGAACGAAGUGGCGAACGGGUGAGUAAUACGUUGGUAACCUGCCCUCCCUUUUGGGAUAAGCCUUGGAAACGGGGUCUAAUACCGACUAAAGGGGGAUGGGCUCGCGGCCUAUCAGCUUGUUGGUGGGGUGAUGGCCUACCAAGGCGGUGAGGGGUAGCCGGCCUGAGAGGGUGACGGGCCAAGUGGGGAAGGAGAUACGGCCCAGACGCCUACGAGGGGGGGCAGUGGGGGAAAUUGCGCAAUGCGGGAAAGCCAAAUGCAGGGAAGCGGCGAGGGGGAUGAAAGAUUUCGGGUUGUAAACCGCUUUCGCGAUAGAACAGGUAGGUAGAGAUGAAGCACCGGCUAACUACGUGCCAGCAGCCGCGGUAAUUC